rnacentral:snoRNA from 1 species
AAGACUAUAUUUUCAGGGAUCGUUUCUAUAGUUCGUUCAAGUACACAGUUCAGUGGCAUUAAGUACCGUCACAAUGCUGUAUGACCAUCACCACAUCUAGU